CUCGGAUCAGGUAGGGAUACCUGCUGAACUAAGGCAUAUCAAUAAAGCGGGAGAAA
rnacentral:rRNA from 1 species